CCUACGGGUGGCAGCAGUGAGGAAUAUUGGUCAAUGGCCGGAAGGCUGAACCAGCCAUGCCGCGUGAAGGUCAGUGCCCUUUGGGCGUUAAACUUCUUUUGUGCGGGAGCAAUAUUGCUCACGUGUGGCCAUACGAGCGUACCGUACGAAUAAGCAUCGGCUAACUCCGUGCCAGCAUCCGCGGUAAUACGGGGGAUGCAAGCGUUAUCCGGAUUUAUUGGGUCUAAAGGGUGCGUAGGGUGUGAGGUAAGUCAGCGGUGAAAUGCCACCGCUCAACGGGGUGAAGUGCCAUUGAUACUGCCUUGCUGGAAUGCGGAUGAGGUGGGAGGAAUGUGUGGUGUAGCGGUGAAAUGCAUAGAGAUCACGCAGAACACCGAUUGCGAAGGCAUCUCACGAAUCCGCGAUUGACGCUGAUGCACGAAAGCGUGGGGAUCAAACAGGAUUAGAUACCCUUGUAGUC
rnacentral:rRNA from 1 species